GAACUUUGACCUUUGCAAGGCACUUUCAGUGUCUCCUCUUUGAAAGGAGGGAUUGAGCAAGAGUCUUCGCUCACUCUGCACUCCCAUCGACACCACAGGCUUCAGCUCUCUGCGCUAUCUGUGGCUAGAUAGCCUGCUCACAGGAUCUAGGUCCCGUGUCACUUGGAUGUGACCAACUGCCAACAGAGAGAGGAAAGACAGAAGCAGCUGCUUAAAAGCCAAGCCCGGGGUUUGGAAGUUGUCUCUAAGAUGGCAACAGGCUCUUGGAUCAGACAAAUCAGCUCUUUUGGAGAAAAAAGCCUUCUGCUCAAACACGGCAGGUAUAAAAUACGGAGGAGGAACUUCAUAGCUCAGAGCGCAAGUGUGACUAUUUCCCCACCAGCCCAACCCACUGCUCAAGGAACCGCGGGAGGCCUGACCCCGGUGCAAGGCCACAUGGAAAAGCUGGCAAAACAGCCUGCCAUCGGCAGAGCACAGGAAGCGGUUUGCUCUGUGGCUACACCACCCAUGUGUUACACAAUGUGAUACGACGGGGGAGAAGUGGCUUUCUUCCUCUUCCAAAUUAAAAUAGCCUUUCCUUAACGAAUUAA
ensembl:lincRNA uncharacterized LOC110295921